GAAAAGGAGCAAUCCGCUUUGAGAUGGCCUCGCGUCCGAUUAGCUAGUUGGUGAGGUAACGGCCCACCAAGGCGACGAUCGGUAGCCGGACUGAGAGGUUGAACGGCCACAUUGGGACUGAGACACGGCCCAGACUCCUACGGGAGGCAGCAGUGGGGAAUAUUGCACAAUGGGGGAAACCCUGAUGCAGCGACGCCGCGUGGAGGAAGAAGGUCUUCGGAUUGUAAACUCCUGUUGUUGGGGAAGAUAAUGACGGUACCCAACAAGGAAGUGACGGCUAACUACGUGCCAGCAGCCGCGGUAAAACGUAGGUCACAAGCGUUGUCCGGAAUUACUGGGUGUAAAGGGAGCGCAGGCGGGAAGACAAGUUGGAAGUGAAAUCUAUGGGCUCAACCCAUAAACUGCUUUCAAAACUGUUUUUCUUGAGUAGUGCAGAGGUAGGCGGAAUUCCCGGUGUAGCGGUGGAAUGCGUAGAUAUCGGGAGGAACACCAGUGGCGAAGGCGGCCUACUGGGCACCAACUGACGCUGAGGCUCGAAAGUGUGGGUAGUAAACAGGAUUAGAUACCCUGGUAGUCCACACCGUAAACGAUGAUUACUAGGUGUUGGAGGAUUGACCCCUUCAGUGCC
rnacentral:rRNA from 1 species